AAAGUCGUAACAAGGUUUCCGUAGGUGAACCUGCGGAAGGAUCAUUAACACGUAUCCAACGUUAAACCCCCCUGUGAACUUUUAUCGUGCUCUUGCAGCCCGCGAGUAACAGCAAUCCUGGUAAAUCAGUCGCGAAAGUUGUUAUUGAUUCAGGACCUCUGUCUUGUGAGAAGUUAUAGUUGCAAUUGAGCGUUCGAGGCAAGUGGCUUGGUUUCCCAAACCAACUGGCGUCUGAAAGUGUCGCUGGUUGUCUAAGGAUAACGCUUUACGAUCGCUGUAGGCCGAACACCGGCCGGCGACUAGGUCACCGGGCUCACGCCCCUUAAUAACCCCACAGUUUGCCAACACGCAACCACGACCAACGCAAGUGCACCGGCGUGGUUGAAAACGAACAACUGUUAACAAUGGAUAUCUUGGUUCUC
rnacentral:misc_RNA from 1 species